rnacentral:tRNA from 1 species
UUUGAUAACCAUUGUGUGGGGUUGCGUUCGGCCGCAAUGAAGGGUUAGAUGAACUCUAUCAAAA